rnacentral:piRNA from 1 species
UUCAUCAUGGGACCUGUGAUGGCAGGUGGUA